GAGAACAACAAGAGUGGAUCCCGUAGAGUACUACGGAUGCGUAGGGGUGCUGUAACACCCCAAAAUUUGCCCUCCUCAUUCAUGCAUUAAUUUUUAGUUCAUUUAACAUUUCAUAUUGCAUUUCAUCAUGUCAAUCAAAAUCAGAUCCAAGAAACUUUAUCUAAAAAAAAAGAAAAAAAACGGAAAAGAAAAAAAAACGAAAACGAAAAAAAAAAAGAAAAAGAAAAAGAAAAAAUUAAUUAAUUAAAUAAAUAAAUAAAUAAAAUAAAAUAUAACAGAAUUUUUUUUGGACUUGGGUCUCUCUCAUUUGAGCCCACAAAGCCAUGAAAUUCAGUCUAUAAAUACCAAGGCUUCACUUGAGAAAAAGGAAGAGAAGCAAAACACUCUGAGGUUUCCUUGGGACAAAACCUGGAGAGAAACCUGACGGAGAACUCAGAGCAGCCUCCAAACCCUGAAGGGAACUCAACUGCACAGAAUCACCUCUGCCUCACAUAAACCCUAAAGAUUGUUUUGUAAACCUCACUGGUGCAACUCAAUUUCAAUCAAGCUCUCCAAUC
rnacentral:lncRNA from 1 species